rnacentral:tRNA from 1 species
GCGCCGGUGGUGUAAAGGCGUAUUCCCGCCCGGUCAGAGGGAGGUGCGGGUUCGAGUCCCGUCUGGCGCU